GUGGACUCCGCUCAAACCGCUAGUCAGCCCACAAUCCAAAUUGUAACAGUUCUUGCCAGCUCAUGGCCACCAGAGCUCUGCCACUGAUUCAUAUCAUCCAGGACUGAAAGGGCUCUGUCUUAAAAUUGCACAGGUAGAGGUGCAGAUUCCUGAACUGAAAGUCCUGAUGUUCGGUGCUAUUCCAAAAUGGGUGAAUUCUACAGGAGUUCCUAGUCACUUCCUGAAGGUAGGAAGCUCCUGCAAUGAGGUUGGAAGAUCAAGCCCAAAAUAUUGGAACAGGAGACACAUCAAUUCUUUUCUUGGAUUUUGACACUGAAAUCCAGCUAAAAUGGAUCGCAUUACAUUCGGAUUUAAUACUGAGUUUUAAAAUUCUUUGUGUAGAUGUGAAAUUGCACCAAAU